ensembl:lncRNA
GUUGAAUCAGCGGGAGAAGAAGAAGGAGAAGACAAGGGAGACAGACAAGCUGCGGACGGACAGUAGGAGAAGCAGGAGGUAUGGAGGACUCGGAGCCCGCAGAGGACGGUUUGCUCGCGGGUUUACGCUGGAACAGGACCGCGAGGGACCAGGCUCAACUCAAACAUAAAAUCCGGGAUUUGCCGGGGUUACUCAAGCACGGACUGCACCUGCGGAAGAAAAGCCAAUCACCUGACACCAUCCCAGGGCCAAGCAGCGGACCCACUCUACACAAGUCCUGCUCCCAAAGUUUCCCCUGCGCUGGACGAGCCGUACGGAACGCCUUCCUCUCUCACGGACCGUACCCGGCCAAAGACAAGAUCCACCUGGCCAGAAUCAUACGGUAACCUCGUCUGUGUGUUCUCAGAGCCCAGGGUUAAAUCAAUGCGUCUGCUGAAGCGUGUACUGUGAC